rnacentral:lncRNA from 1 species
GGGAAGUAGUCGAUCAACGGAUCAUCAUCGGUCUCGGGGCCUACCGGAAAGGAAGAUAACGAAGGGGAAACACAAUAAAUAAGAGAGAAAGCAAACACACCACAAAGCAUGCCAAGGUAAAACACCGAGCUAGGGGCGACCUAAAGCAUUACUAAAUGUUACAGAUGAAGCGGGAAAAUAUCUCACCAUAUCUCCCGGGUCUUCGGAUUAUCGGACACAUGAUCCGGAGGGAAAAGGUACAUGUUCAUUAUGCUAGAGGCAUGUGACAGAUGAACGGACAACGUAAUCGGAUUCGUGGGAUUUUUCUGUACAACUUUCAUGUAUAAAAUAUUAUCAUCCGAGUUACGGAUUAUUUCUAUUAAUUUUCAAAGUUUCAAUGAUUUUCUAAAAUUUCUGGAUUUAUUUUAAUUCGAGUUGACCCAGUCAACUUGACUAGUCAAAUGGGGAGGGUGUGGCCUACAUGUCAUAGGGAGCAAUUAAAUUAUGCUAGUUAAUUAAAUUAACUAGUGUGAGUUUACUUGGCAUAGGCUAGUAGUUAAACUAACUAGGAGUAGUAAUUAAGACAUAGUACUAAUUAACCCACUAAGCUACUAGGCCGGCCACACUCUCCAACGCACACUUACAAGCUCACACACUCACGGACACACACACGCACAGACUCACGCUCCCCAUGGCUAGCAGCAGCGUAGGCACAACAAGCAGCAAGCAGCAAGCAGCUAGCAGGCCAGCAACAGCAAAGCAGGAGACGGUUGCGGCAGCAACGAGCAGCACAUCGAGCAAUAGCAUGGCAGCGGAGCAUCAAGCAGCAGGAUAGAGUAGCGGCGAGCACCCAUGCACAACAGCAAUAGCACCCACGCACGUACGCGUACGCGUACAUUCGGACGAGUUCGGGAUGGCAACUACGGCGACGAAUCGAGCACGGGAACCAGGGGAAUCGGCAGAGGAGCUCACCAGGAGGCUCAUGGACAUGGUCCAAAGGCACGGGGCGGCCGGGAUGCGACGAACUUGACGGCGAGGUGUGGCGGCCGUGGGCGAAGAUUGCUGCGAUGGCGAGCUUCUCGUGCGCCCCUACUCGAACCGAUGCGCGCAGGUGAAGCAACCGAUGACGAGGGAGCUCCUAGACACCUUCAAGCGACGAGGGAAGAC